rnacentral:rRNA from 1 species
UACGUAGGGUGCGAGCGUUGUCCGGAAUUAUUGGGCGUAAAGAGCUCGUAGGCGGUCUGUCGCGUCGAUCGUGAAAACUUGGGGGCUUAACCCUGAGCUUGCGGUCGAUACGGGCAUGACUGGAGUUCGGCAGGGGAGACUGGAAUUCCUGGUGUAGCGGUGAAAUGCGUAGAUAUCUGGAGGAACACCGGUGGCGAAGGCGGCAUUCUGGACCGAAACUGACGCUGAGGCGCGAAAGCCAGGGGAGCAAACGGG